CACCCCCUGCCCCUCCGCCGCGGCCGCCCCGUCUCAUCAUCCACAUCGGGAUCUACAUCCACCAACACAUCGCCUCCACCUUCUCCUCGAUUCAUCGCAGCAGCCAACCACCACCCUCCGCCCGAGACCCUGGCCGUCGCUCCCAAGCUCCUCUGCCUGCGCUCACUCCGCAGCCGCCCGAGGACGCGCCUCCUCGUCCCUGCACAGCCCGCGAGGCACCGGCCUCCUCAGCUCCUCCGGCCCUGUAGAAACCUUGCCGGAGCAGCGAAUCAGGCAGUGCCUUCUUCCUUCCCUCUCGUUCUCCUGUAUCCUCCCGUAGCUCUCGCUCAUGCCGUCUCUCUCGCCCCUUCUUUUCACUGCAGGAAGCUCCAUGCCAUGGCCUCCCCUGCUCGCCGACCGCAUCGCUGCCGUCGCCUUCGUGCCUUGCAGUCCCGGCCUUCCCCGCUGCCUCGCGCCGCUCGCCGGACGAGCAGCUCACCUGAGUCGUCGCGCCGCUCUGCCAGGCCGUGCCCCCGCCACAAGAGCUCGUCCUCCAUGGCGACAGAGGCCUCGAGCUCAUCGGUACCACCGCCGCCGUGAACGGACCCCGCACCGCAUCUGCGACCUCCACAACAGCAGCAGCCGCUGCACCCUCUCGCUGGCGAGCCCAGGGGAUGAGCCGCACGCCCAUGCGUCCUUCCCCACGCACGGAUCCGCCGACGCGCCGUCCUGGGGUUCCGCGCCAACCCGCCGCCGUCUUUCGCGUCGUCGCCGACCUCCCCUGCUUCUGCUUUGAGCAGGAGGAUUCGCUCGCAGCGCCGCCCCGCUCCCGUUGACCGCGAGCCUCGUCAGCGCCUCUUGCCUCGCUCGUGGACCGGCCUCCAGGCCGCUGCUGCUUUUCCCCGCUUUGGCCCAGUUAGGCCUCGCAGGCCCAAUGUGAGGCACACCCCAGCGCCCCACCUUUUUGUUUUUUUUUCUCCCAUUGGGCCGGCCUGUUGUUUCAGCCUGUAUAGUUUUUUAGGCUCUGUGAAUUUCUGUAUUUAUCCUGAGUCUGCCAGUUUUGCAGAAUAGCCCCUAAACUUUAUGCAUUUAAUAACUUCA